rnacentral:rRNA from 1 species
UACGGAGGGAGCAAACGUUGUUCGGAUUUACUGGGCGUAAAGGGAGUCUAGGCGGCUUGGUAAGUCAGAGGUGAAAUCCCGCGGCUCAACCGCGGAGUUGCCUUUGAUACUGCCGAGCUUGAGGCCGUGAGAGGAGACUGGAAUUCCCAGUGUAGCGGUGAAAUGCAUAGAUAUUGGGAAGAACACCAGUGGCGAAGGCGAGUCUCUGGCACGGAUCUGACGCUGAAGCUCGAAAGCUAGGGGAGCAAACGGG